ACGGAGGAUGCAAGCGUUAUCCGGAUUUAUUGGGUUUAAAGGGUCCGUAGGCGGGUAUUUAAGUCAGUGGUGAAAGCCCACAGCUCAACUGUGGAACUGCCAUUGAUACUGGAUGUCUUGAGUAUAGUAGAAGUAGGCGGAAUAGGGCAUGUAGCGGUGAAAUGCAUAGAUAUGCCCUAGAACACCGAUUGCGAAGGCAGCUUACUAUGUUAUAACUGACGCUGAGGGACGAAAGCGUGGGGAGCAAACAGGAUUAGAUACCCUGGUAGUCCACGCCGUAAACGAUGAUUACUCGCUGCUGGCGAUAUACAGUCAGUGGCCAAGCGAAAGCAUUAAGUAAUCCACCUGGGGAGUACGCCGGCAACGGUG
rnacentral:rRNA from 1 species